rnacentral:rRNA from 1 species
UACAGAGGUCCCAAGCGUUGUUCGGAUUCACUGGGCGUAAAGAGUGUGUAGGCUGCUCUCCAAGUUUGGUGUGAAAUCUCCCGGCUUAACCGGGAGGGUGCGCCGAAAACUGGGGGGCUCGAGUGUGGGAGAGGAAAGCGGAAUUCCCGGUGUAGCGGUGAAAUGCGCAGAUAUCAGGAGGAACACCGAUGGCGAAGGCAGUGGGCUGGGCCGGCACUGACGCUGAGGAGCGAAAGCGUGGGGAGCGAACAGG